UAGGUUUGGUCCCAGCCUUAAAAUCAAUUUUUACUUAACUUACACAUGCAAGUCUCCGCACACCCGUGAAAACGCCCUUCAUCCCAUUAGGAUAAGGAGCUGAUAUCAGGCAUAAACUACCCAAAACAUCUAGCCACACCACACCCACAAGGGCCCACAGCAGUGAUUAACAUUAAAAAUAAACGUCAGUUUGACUUAGUCAAUGAACAUAGAGCCGGCCAAUCUGGUGCCAGCCGCCGCGGUUACACCAUGAGGCUCAAAUUGAUUUUAACACGGCGUAAAGCGUGAUUAAAGAAAAUAAUAUUUUGGGGUCAAACUUAAACUAAGCUGUAACACGCCUGUUUUUUAGAAGACCUAUUUCGAAAGACACCCCAACUCACCAACUUGAAUUCACAACAACUAGGACACAAACUGGGAUUAGAUACCCCACUAUGCCUAAUCGUAAACUCUAACUUACUCCUCAAUCGCCAGGGAACUACGAGCUAAGCUUAAAACCCAAAGGACUUGACGGUACCCCACAUCCUUCUAGAGGAGCCUGUCCUAUAACCGAUACUCCCCGUUCAACCUCACCAUUUUUAGUCUUUCAGCCUGUAUACUUCCGUCGUCAGCCUACCGCGUGAGCGAAUAAGUAAGCUAAAUGUCACCCACCAAUACGUCAG
rnacentral:rRNA from 1 species